AGCUGUAAUGAAUGAGGACUCUAAUGUACUGUACAGGUGAAACCCAAUCACAGGGCUUUAUUACAAUAACCAGCAGGAAGCCAAAAACAUCCACCAUAAUGAAGAAAAUAAUCUUAAUGAUCAGAUGAGCUCUGACAGUCUUACAGCACAGCAUUAUAGUAUGGUUAUGGUAUAUUAUGGUUUCAUAUGUUUUCAGUGUUCAUGAACUGAUGUCAUUUUAAUGCUGUUCUCAUCCUCUGACACUGACAGAUAGGAGGAGCCUGUGGAGAUCUGAUAUAGAGCAAACUAAACUCUUUUUCUUCCUACAGUGCAAACAUGACGAUCCUUUGUGUUCUUCUUCUGCUAUUGUUGAUGAAAAGGGAGACAUUUGCACAGUCAAUAACACCGCUGGAAAACAAGGUGCUUCAAUCUGCAGGAGAUGAAGUCACUCUGUCCUGUAAAUAUGAUGGAGCAGUAACUAACCUGCACUGGUAUCGUCAGUAUCCGGGAUCCAAACCAGAGUUCCUCGCAUACAUUUAUCCACAUGGAACCCCAAGUGACCCUCUUCCUCCUCGUCUUUUUCCUAAAGUUGAUAAAAACAACAAUCUUGUGUAUCUGGAGAUCUCCUCUGCUGAAGUAUCAGACUCUGCACUGUAUUACUGCGCUCUGAUGCCCACAGUGACAGGAAACACAUCAUCCCUGUACAAAAACAUCCUCAACAAUAAAUCUCAUAAACUAAAGUGCAUCACAAAACACAUAAAAUAUCAUAGAUCAGUUCAGACAGUGGUGGUAUGA